rnacentral:rRNA from 1 species
ACUCAAAUGAAUUGACGGGGGCCCGCACAAGCGGUGGAGGAUGUGGUUUAAUUCGACGCAACGCGAAGAACCUUACCUGGGCUUGACAUCCCGUGACCGCUCCAGAGAUGGAGUUUUCCCUUCGGGGACACGGAGACAGGUGCUGCAUGGCUGUCGUCAGCUCGUGUCGUGAGAUGUUGGGUUAAGUCCCGCAACGAGCGCAACCCUUGUCCUUAGUUGCCAUCGGGUCAAGCCGGGCACUCUAGGGAGACUGCCGGUGACAAGCCGGAGGAAGGUGGGGAUGACGUCAAGUCCUCAUGGCCUUUAUGCCCAGGGCCACACACGUCCUACAAUGGCGCGUACAAAGAGCAGCAAGCCAGCGAUGGUGAGCGAAUCUCAAAAAGCGCGUCUCAGUUCGGAUUGCAGUCUGCAACUCGACUGCAUGAAGUUGGAAUCGCUAGUAAUCGCGCAAAAGUAUGGCGCGGUGAAUACGUUCCCGGGCCUUGUACACACCGCCCGU